rfam:Triticum aestivum genome assembly, contig: Triticum_aestivum_CS42_TGACv1_scaffold_401089_5AS
GGAUGCGAUCAUACCAGCACUAAAGCACCGAAUCCCAUCAGAACUCCGAAGUUAAGCGUGCUUGGUGAGAGUAGUACUAGGAUGGGUGACCUCCUGGGAAGUCCUCGUGUUGCAUUCC